GACGAACGCUGGCGGCGUGCUUAACACAUGCGAGUCGAACGGAAAGGCCCUGCUUUUGUGGGGUGCUCGAGUGGCGAACGGGUGAGUAACACGUGAGUAACCUGCCCUUGACUUUGGGAUAACUUCAGGAAACUGGGGCUAAUACCGGAUAGGAGCUCCUGCUGCAUGGUGGGGGUUGGAAAGUUUCGGCGGUUGGGGAUGGACUCGCGGCUUAUCAGCUUGAUGGUGGGGUAGUGGCUUACCAAGGCUUUGACGGGUAGCCGGCCUGAGAGGGUGACCGGCCACAUUGGGACUGAGAUACGGCCCAGACUCCUACGGGAGGCAGCAGUGGGGAAUAUUGCACAAUGGGCGGAAGCCUGAUGCAGCAACGCCGCGUGCGGGAUGACGGCCUUCGGGUUGUAAACCGCUUUCGCCUGUGACGAAGCGUGAGUGACGGUAAUGGGUAAAGAAGCACCGGCUAACUACGUG
rnacentral:rRNA from 1 species